rnacentral:misc_RNA from 1 species
GCCAUUUGAUGUCGCGAAGCAGAGUCCGUGUUUUUUUUUCUGUGAAAAUGUCAUCAAGCCACAAUCAAAACAGAAGAAGGAUUAGCUUUAAAGUAUACACGACGACACACCGCCAAAAGAAAUUGCCGGCCACUUCGCCCUAUCAGAACCGCAGUUUGCUGGACUUGCCGUCGACGGCGGCCGUCUCGGUCAUCGACCCAUUUUAUGAUUCGUCCUACUGGAACUUGGAGUACGACCCACUCGCAAUGCAGCAGGUCCCGAUGGUGGAAACAAAUUACGGCGGCAAGCUUUACUCACCAUCGGAUGAAGUAGAAACUAUCGCCGGUCACGUUUUCAAAAGUCCAAAGCCUCCGAGGGCUCAACACGGCAAGCGGCAAUGUCAGCAACAGUCAACUGCUGCGAUAACAGGCGGCAGUGGCGUCGGCAUCGAUGGCAACGGGAUCCAACGUCAAUCAAGUUUCCUGCUUAAGCGCCUGGACGCUAAAAAGUCGAUGGCCGAAAUUUCCAUUCCCGGAAUGCGAGCCGUGUUUGGACUUCGCUCGUCGAUGAUUCGUCGAAUCAUCUGGAUUUUCAUUCUUAUCACGUGCUUCAGCAUAUGUGCUAUUCAGGUUCAGGAUCGAGUGGUUACCUACAUGUCGUCGCCAGUAACGGUUCACGUCCGAGUGUCCAGAAAUAUGAGUCUUCGCUUUCCAGUUCUUUCAAUUUGUAAUAAGAACAUGUUCAACAUGUCAGCCAUUCAGAUCCUAAAGGAAAAAAAGGCGAACGCUAUCAAAGAGAAAAACGGUACCAUCGUCUCGCAGAAAGAAAUGGCCAAAUGGGAUGUGGGCGAUUUAAUUGGAGUGAAUGACUACAAUGUUUCCCAGCUUUGGGAUUUUAUUUCUCAUUCACUUAAUAAAGAUGGGAUUCAUCAUGGGAUGGCCCUAGAAUGCUACUUUGGAAGAAAUAAGACGUGUGAAGAACGUGGACGUUGGGAAGUAAUAUACAAUUACAUGGGCGUCUGCUACUCUUACACGCUAAACGGAUCUCUAGUCAACACGACUGGCCUAUUCAACAACUUCUACCUAAAGCUGCAAGAUACCCAGCCUUUGGCUUACAAGGACGACGCAAGUGGAUGGAAACUACUCAUACACGACCAAAGGGAUUCACCGCUGAUUCACCUUCGCACACACGGCACAACACUCUAUCGUGGCUGGUCCAAAGAUAUCCGCGUUUUCAUAAGACAGUUUCAGACGAUAAAUAGCGAUAAGCGUCCGUGCUCCGAUGAAAUCGACUACUCCUACUCUGAGUGUGUUGCAAAUUGUUUUAUUAAAGAAGUGAACGCCAAUAGCAUAUGUCGCCUUCCUUAUAUCAAAGCUUUAAAAGACGAUGAUCCUGAGCCGUGUAACGAUUCCCAAGCGUACGCAGCUGUCAACAAAAGGGUGGACGACCUCCUUUUCUACGGAGAGUGGUCCGAAAACAAUUGUCCGUGUCCAAGACAAUGCAAUCAGGACUUUUACAUAACGUAUGCCGAGACAAAUCAAAUGGACAAAGAACAGGAGAACAAGGGGAAAUUGCGGAUCUUUUAUCAGGAUUUGACCUAUGACGAUAUUGAAGAGGAGUUUGGUUACACGACUAUCCCUUUGCUCUGCGAUAUUGGCGGCUCGCUAGGUUUGCUACUGGGUGCUUCGGUUCUCACUUUCUUCGAAAUCAUCGAGGCUAUCUCGACAGCAUUGGUCCAUCUAACAGCUAUGUUUACUCACUGUUGCUGCCUAUUUGUCAAGUCAAAACCAGAGCCCCGACCGAUUUAAUAUCAUUGUGUGUGAAAAAUGCUGCACCAACAACACUGUUGUUGUAUUUCAGCUUCAAUUAUUGCCGAUUCAAAAGAUUUGGGUUUCUGCUGAGCAUCCAAGUUAACGAAGAUGGACGCAUUAAUCGGUGCGAACGUCUGUUUUGGGAUUCCAACCAUUCGAUUCACUGGUAAUCGUUGUCUUAAUUGGAUCAGCAUUACUAUAGCGAAGAUACUGAGCUAAUGCACCUAAUAGUCUAUUAUUGUUAAAUGUCGUUACAUAUGCAAUAAAAUUCUGGCAUGUAUUGACGGUAAACAUAAUCAAUAGAACAUACUUAAAUGUAUAUAGCUGGUCUGUUUAAAAUUUUAACUACUCAACGCAGAUUUUCCAAUGGCUUCCGAGAUAUUUUUGUAUCCUUUCGAUCU